rnacentral:rRNA from 1 species
GGGUUGUGAGGUUAAGCGACUAAGCGUACACGGUGGAUGCCUUGGCAGUCAGAGGCGAUGAAGGGCGUGCUAAUCUGCGAUAAGCGCCGGUAAGGUGAUAUGAACCGUUAUAACCGGCGAUACCCGAAUGGGGAAACCCAGUGUGACUCGUCACACUAUCAUUAACUGAAUCCAUAGGUUAAUGAGGCGAACCGGGGGAACUGAAACAUCUAAGUACCCCGAGGAAAAGAAAUCAACCGAGAUUCCCCCAGUAGCGGCGAGCGAACGGGGAGGAGCCCAGAGCCUGAAUCAGCAUGUGUGUUAGUGGAAGCGUCUGGAAAGGUGCGCGAUACAGGGUGACAGCCCCGUACACAAAAGCGCAUGUGCUGUGAGCUCGAUGAGUAGGGCGGGACACGUGGUAUCCUGUCUGAAUAUGGGGGGACCAUCCUCCAAGGCUAAAUACUCCUGACUGACCGAUAGUGAACCAGUACCGUGAGGGAAAGGCGAAAAGAACCCCGGCGAGGGGAGUGAAAAAGAACCUGAAACCGUGUACGUACAAGCAGUGGGAGCCCCACCACUAAGCCAGUGGUGAACUCCACAUCCGCAUCCUUUGCUGAGGAUACGGUUAACGGAGCGAAAGCGACGUUCAACCGCAAAACAAGCAGAGGGGGCUUAGUGGUGGGGUGACUGCGUACCUUUUGUAUAAUGGGUCAGCGACUUAUAUUCUGUAGCAAGGUUAACCGUAUAGGGGAGCCGGAGGGAAACCGAGUCUUAAUUGGGCGUUAAGUUGCAGGGUAUAGACCCGAAACCCGGUGAUCUAGCCAUGGGCAGGUUGAAGGUUGGGUAACACUAACUGGAGGACCGAACCGACUAAUGUUGAAAAAUUAGCGGAUGACCUGUGGCUGGGGGUGAAAGGCCAAUCAAACCGGGAGAUAGCUGGUUCUCCCCGAAAGCUAUUUAGGUAGCGCCUCGUGAAUUCAUCUCCGGGGGUAGAGCACUGUUUCGGCUAGGGGGCCAUCCCGGCUUACCAACCCGAUGCAAACUGCGAAUACCGGAGAAUGUUAUCACGGGAGACACACGGCGGGUGCUAACGUCCGUCGUGAAGAGGGAAACAACCCAGACCGCCAGCUAAGGUCCCAAAGUCAUGGUUAAGUGGGAAACGAUGUGGGAAGGCCCAGACAGCCAGGAUGUUGGCUUAGAAGCAGCCAUCAUUUAAAGAAAGCGUAAUAGCUCACUGGUCGAGUCGGCCUGCGCGGAAGAUGUAACGGGGCUAAACCAUGCACCGAAGCUGCGGCAGCGA